rnacentral:rRNA from 1 species
UAGUCCACGCCGUAAACGAUGGAUACUAGCUGUCCGGGUCCUUGAGACCUGGGCGGCCAAGCGAAAGUGAUAAGUAUCCCACCUGGGGAGUACGUUCGCAAGAAUGAAACUCAAAGGAAUUGACGGGGGCCCGCACAAGCGGUGGAGCAUGUGGUUUAAUUCGAUGAUACGCGAGGAACCUUACCAGGGCUUAAAUGUAGGUUGCAUUAGCUAGAGAUAGCUAAUUUCUUCGGACUACUUACAAGGUGCUGCAUGGUUGUCGUCAGCUCGUGCCGUGAGGUGUCAGGUUAAGUCCUAUAACGAGCGCAACCCUUGUCGUUAGUUGCCAGCAUUUAAAGAUGGGGACUCUAACGAGACUGCCGGUGCAAACCGAGAGGAAGGUGGGGAUGACGUCAAAUCAUCACGGCCCUUACGUCCUGGGCCACACACGUGCUACAAUGGCCGGUACAGAGAGCAGCCAUGCUGUAAAGCAGAGCGAAUCUACAAAGCCGGUCACAGUUCGG